rnacentral:rRNA from 1 species
GAUGAACGCUGGCGGCGUGCCUAAUACAUGCAAGUCGAGCGAACGGACGAGAAGCUUGCUUCUCUGAUGUUAGCGGCGGACGGGUGAGUAACACGUGGAUAACCUACCUAUAAGACUGGGAUAACUUCGGGAAACCGUAGCUAAUACCGGAUAAUAUUUUGAACCGCAUGGUUCAAAAGUGAAAGACGGUCUUGCUGUCACUUAUAGAUGGAUCCGCGCUGCAUUAGCGAGUUGUUAAGGUAACGGCUUACCAAGGCAACGAUGCAUAGCCGCCCUGAGAGGGUGAUCGGCCACACUGGAACUGAGACACGGUCCAGACUCCUACGGGAGGCAGCAGUAGGGAAUCUUCCGCAAAGGGCGAAAGCCUGACGGAGCAACGCCGCGUGAGUGAUGAAGGUCUUCGGAUCGUAAAACUCUGUUAUUAGGGAAGAACAUAUGUGUAAGUAACUGUGCACAUCUUGACGGUACCUAAUCAGAAAGCCACGGCUAACUACGUG